rnacentral:rRNA from 1 species
UACGGAGGGAGCUAGCGUUGUUCGGAAUUACUGGGCGUAAAGCGCGCGUAGGCGGCUUUGUAAGUUAGAGGUGAAAUCCUGGAGCUCAACUCCAGAACUGCCUUUGAUACUGGAGAGCUUGAGUCCGGGAGAGGUGAGUGGAACUCCGAGUGUAGAGGUGAAAUUCGUAGAUAUUCGGAAGAACACCAGUGGCGAAGGCGGCUCACUGGCCCGGUACUGACGCUGAUGUGCGAAAGCGUGGGGAGCAAACAGG